rnacentral:rRNA from 1 species
UACAGAGGUCUCAAGCGUUGUUCGGAUUCAUUGGGCGUAAAGGGUGCGUAGGUGGCGCGGUAAGUCGGGUGUGAAAUCCCCAGGCUUAACCUGGGAACUGCAUUCGAGACUGCAUUGCUAGAGUAUGGGAGAGGGAAGUGGAAUUUCCGGUGUAGCGGUGAAAUGCGUAGAUAUCUGGAGGAACACCGGUGGCGAAGGCGGCAUCCUGGACCAAUACUGACACUGAGGAGCGAAAGCCAGGGGAGCAAACGGG